rnacentral:rRNA from 1 species
GAUGAACGCUGGCGGCGUGCCUAACACAUGCAAGUCGAGCGGCAGCGAGGGGUGCUUGCACCCUGUCGGCGAGCGGCGGACGGCUGAGUAACGCGUGGGAACGUGCCCCAAAGUGAGGAAUAACUGCCCGAAAGGGUAGCUGAUACCGCAUAUUAUCUUCGGAUCAAAGGAUUUAUCCGCUUUGGGAGCGGCUCGCGUCGGAUUAGGUAGUUGGUGAGGUAAUGGCUCACCAAGCCGACGAUCCGUAGCUGGUCUGAGAGGAUGACCAGCCAGACUGGAACUGAGACACGGUCCAGACUCCUACGGGAGGCAGCAGUGAGGAAUCUUCCACAAUGGGCGAAAGCCUGAUGGAGCAACGCCGCGUGCAGGACGAAGGCCUUCGGGUUGUAAACUGCUUUUAUAAGUGAGGAAUAUGACGGUAACUUAUGAAUAAGGAUCGGCUAACUACGUG